rnacentral:lncRNA from 1 species
UAUGUAAGACCUAAAUAUAGAAAGAACACCUUUUAAAAGUUCCAGCGAUCUUGACCUGGUUGGGUUUUCGCGCAACUUUCUACACUCAUUAGCUGGAAAAAGUUUGAGCGAGGCUGUGGACAAAGCCCUGACAAUUUGAGUCUCUGCAAAGAAAGACAGAAAGGUAGGACAGUGCAACAAAAUAAAGCAACAUUUCAAUUAUCAUUGGAAUCUCGUAAAGUUUUAGUCGAGUAGCUACGGAAAACGAUUAGCUAAGGAAAAAAACCUUCAAGUAAUAUGGCUCUUGAUAUUGUGGUAAUAUUCCAAUCUUUUAAUGGCAACAUCCAAUCUUUUAAUCUUGCGGCUGUGUUUUUAGGCUUGCUGUAUACUCAUGAAAUCCAAGAUUAAAAUUAUUGUCGUCAGAACGCUGUCGGCCAUUUUUAAUGGGUCCUGGCGUUUAUCACCAGCGUAAGUAGUAUGGCACAACCAUUGAAAUUGACGAAGGUCUAACGCUCGAAACCUCAGCCUUAGAAACUCUUAUGCGUACGGUGGCCAAUUUACAUUGUCAACUCAUUUCAUAAAACCAAAUUUUCUGUUUAAUUCUACUUUAAGUCGUUUCAUAGAAUUAAAAUCGUUCGUAACCUGUUGUUUGUUAUUUGCAACUUUUUUAUGUUUAAUUCGCUGUUUAAAUUUUUUCACCGGUCUAAAAAUACUUUAUUUUGGAGAACCUUUUACAGGCUGGUCUAACACGUAGGCACACAUUUAGGCUUGUUACCCACCCUUCCCUCACAGUUGUUUGCGUGAGAGGAAUGCUAUAUUUAGGCCGGAAGGAAACGCAACGUCAUCAGGAAAAAGAGAAUAUCACAGAUUUCCCUUGACCCUAUUUUUUCGGUCAUUUACUCUCACCUAACUCGAGCCCCCGCUAACUCAAUAGGGAUUUUAUUUCGCAAUUUCUAUCGUUCGAUUCUAGGUUGGGCACGUCAAGUCGUCUCGCACGUCGGAUAACAUCUUUUUUCCAAGUCUUGCUUCUUGAGGUGCAAGGCAAACAUGAGGGGAGGAGGCCGAGUGAUUUUUCUCUACGUCUAGUACACAUGUUUCUUUUCGUUUGAGAAGCUAAGAUGUUUUCGGACAGAACUAAGGAAAGCGAUGUUUAGGCCCAAAGCGAAAAGAAAAAACGUUUCCAUAGACCUCUUACCCAGACCGCCGCCGUUCAUGUAAGCACGGGCUCAAACUUUGUAUCCACGGUGUUCAAUAGAGUUGAUGCAUCAUAUCAAUAUGUCUGACUAAAACAUACAGUUGUUUGAAUGUACAGCCGAGUUUUAGGCAAAAAUGCAACUCUCGUCACAGAAAACUUGUAUAUGAUUAAAUUACCAAGGACUUUUUCAGCUCGGUGUUUCUUGCUCCUCUGGUGGGGCAAAAUAUUACAAGUAAUUUUUAAGUUCCCGCACUACGUUUCGAGACAGCAUCGCGUGACAUACCGAUCCUUUUGUAUCUAUUUCCAUAAUUGUAAGGCCACGAACGGGUGCUUUUCUCGUUCUAAAAUACGAUCAUUGUGUUGGAAAUACCUUUUCAAAAGAAUAAGCAAUAAAUGACACAGCUACGGAUAAGUAAAUUUUCUUUCAUUUUGAGGCGGCGCUUUGUAAUUGUUUGCAAGUUUACAGCUCUCUUACCAUUUUUAUGCAACUGUAUUUGCAUUUUCCGGUUUUACUAGUAAGCCAUUGUAAUAUUUGACACGUGAGUCUGGCGUGCGUAACAGAGUGAGUUAAUGUCUGGUUUUGCCCGCCCUGAAGAACUGCUCGUCACUUUUUUGUAUUCAUUAAACGCAAAAAGGCGAGAUCCUCAAUUCCUCUAAAAACUCUAACGCAUUCUUAGCGUCUCCUCUAAAAGUAUGAGUCUCUCUGCGAGCUAUAUUUUUAUCUCAUCUUAAGAGACAUCACUGAAAAAAUUGAUUCAUAAACAACGUCGAACUUGAUGGAUUGCCGAAGCAUGAAAAUCAGUCUUGCAUAGCGUUCUCUAGGAUCACGAAGAAAUAACUCUGGCACGUUUUGCGUAGUAACUUAUACCAGCCGGGAGGGCUCUUGUAUGUAUGCAAUACUGUAGAUGAAACCGUUAGCUACAGGUCUUUUCUACAACUAUGAGUCUCUCUGCGAGCUAUAUUUUUAUCUCAUCUUAAUAGACAUCACUUAAAAAUUAAUUUAUAAACAACGUCGAACGUGAUGAAACGCUGAAGCAUGAAAAUCAGUCUUGCAUACCGUUCUCUAGGAUCACGAGGAAAUAACUCACGUUUCAUAGUAACCUAUACCAGCCGGGAGGGCUCCGCCAUGUAUGCAAUACUGUAAAUGAAAUCGUCAGCUACAGGUUCCUACUUAGUCAGCUUCCUACUUUACAAGGACUAUUCGUGACUGAUACCGUUCGUUGUAUCAGUUGUCGUGAGAAAUGGGACGCACAAAUUCAAGAGAGAAACUGUUCACGUACCAAAUCAACAGGGAAAACCCCUUCAUACCUAAUCAUAAUACCACCUCAGACGCAAUACUCAACAUAAAUAUCAUGAAGAAAAGAGCGGCAUAGAUGGUAAACUGAUUUACUAUAUAAAUCACUUGAUAAUUCUUUUUUGUCGCAACUGAUUUGAGCGAGGCUGUAGACGAAGUCCUGACAAUUCAAGCCUCUGCGAAGAAAGAAAGAAAGGUACGAUGAUGCAACGAGAUAAAGCCACAUUACAGUGAUCAUUGGAAUCUCGUAAAGUAUUUGUCGAUUAGCUAAGGAAAAAAAGCUUCAAGUAA